rfam:Hymenobacter gelipurpurascens strain DSM 11116 genome assembly, contig: Ga0170436_11
AGAGGAGUGGCAGAGUGGUCGAUUGCGGCGGUCUUGAAAACCGUUGAAGGUUAAACUUCCGGGGGUUCGAAUCCCUCCUCCUCUG